UUCGUUAAGUAGUUAUGGUGACACAACUUUGGCUGUGUCUCAAACAGCCUACUUGCACACUUCAAACACUUAGUUUUAAGUUUAUAGUGUAGAUAACGCAACAAGUCAGUGCACUUAAAUUACCCAGGUGACCCCCUAAAAACGUUCAAAAAGUUCAGUGUAGAACUAGACAGUUACAGAAAUGGACCAACAGACCCCGUUGCUCUGGAUAGAAACCAG